rnacentral:rRNA from 1 species
CCCUUAGAUGUUCUGGGCAGCACGCGCGCUACAAUGGUCUUCGCAAACGGAUGCAUUCUCGAAGGAGAAUGCCAAUCUUGGAAUCUAUGCCUUGGUCGGGACAGUUGCUUGCAAUUUUUCGACUCGAACCAGGAAUUCCUUGUAAUCGUGAUUCAUCACAUCACGAUGAAUACGUCCCUGCCCUUUGUACACACCGCCCGUCGCUCCUACCGAUUGAAUGGUCCGGUGAAAUCUUCGGAUUGCUGACCAAGAUCCAGCAAUGGAGCUUGGUUGCGAGAAGUUGAUUAAACCUUAUUAUUUAGAGGAAGGAGAAGUCGUAACA